ACAAGCGGUGGAUGAUGUGGAUUAAUUCGAUGCAACGCGAAAACCUUACCUACCCUUGACAUGUCCGGAAUCCCGAAGAGAUUUGGGAGUGCUCGCAAGAGAACCGGAACACAGGUGCUGCAUGGCUGUCGUCAGCUCGUGUCGUGAGAUGUUGGGUUAAGUCCCGCAACGAGCGCAACCCUUGUCAUUAGUUGCCAUCAUUUGGUUGGGCACUCUAAUGAGACUGCCGGUGACAAACCGGAGGAAGGUGGGGAUGACGUCAAGUCCUCAUGGCCCUUAUGGGUAGGGCUUCACACGUCAUACAAUGGUCGGUACAGAGGGUUGCCAACCCGCGAGGGGGAGCUAAUCCCACAAAGCCGAUCGUAGUCCGGAUCGCAGUCUGCAACUCGACUGCGUGAAGUCGGAAUCGCUAGUAAUCGCAGGUCAGCAUACUGCGGUGAAUACGUUCCCGGGUCUU
rnacentral:rRNA from 1 species